AGAGUUUGAUCCCGGCUCAGAUUGAACGCUGGCGGCGUGCUUAACACAUGCAAGUCGUGCGAGAAAGGGGACUUCGGUCCCUGAGUAGAGCGGCGCACGGGUGAGUAACGCGUGGAUAAUCUACCCAGAUGUUCAGGAUAACGGUGGGAAACUGCCGCUAAUACUGGAUACGCUCCAAUUUCGAUUGGGGGAAAGGCGGCCUCUGCUUGCAAGCUGUCGCAUCUGGAUGAGUCCGCGUCCCAUUAGCUUGUUGGCGGGGUAACGGCCCACCAAGGCUACGAUGGGUAACUGGUCUGAGAGGAUGAUCAGUCACACUGGAACUGAAACACGGUCCAGACUCCUACGGGAGGCAGCAGUGGGGAAUAUUGCGCAAUGGGGGAAACCCUGACGCAGCGGCGCCGUGUGAGGGAAGAAGGCUUUCGGGUCGUAAA
rnacentral:rRNA from 1 species